AUUGAACGCUGGCGGCAGGCCUAACACAUGCAAGUCGAACGGUAACAGGAAGAAGCUUGCUUCUUUGCUGACGAGUGGCGGACGGGUGUGUAAUGUCUGGGAAACUGCCUGAUGGAGGGGGAUAACUACUGGAAACGGUAGCUAAUACCGCAUAAUGUCGCAAGCCCAAAGAGGGGGACCUUCGGGCCUCUUGCCAUCGGCUUUGCCCAGAUGGGAUUAGCUAGUAGGUGGGGUAACGGCUCACCUAGGCGACGAUCCCUAGCUGGUCUGAGAGGAUGACCAGCCACACUGGAACUGAGACACGGUCCAGACUCCUACGGGAGGCAGCAGUGGGGAAUAUUGCACAAUGGGCGCAAGCCUGAUGCAGCUAUGCCGCGUGUAUGAAGAAGGCCUUCGGGUUGUAAAGUACUUUCAGCGGGGAGGAAGGGAGUAAAGUUAAUACCUUUGCUCAUUGACGUUACCCGAAGAAGAAGCACCGGCUAACUCCGUG
rnacentral:rRNA from 1 species